rnacentral:rRNA from 1 species
GACGAACGCUGGCGGCGUGCUUAACACAUGCAAGUCGAACGGAAAGGCCCUGCUUUUGUGGGGUGCUCGAGUGGCGAACGGGUGAGUAACACGUGAGUAACCUGCCCUUGACUUUGGGAUAACUUCAGGAAACUGGGGCUAAUACCGGAUAGGAGCUCCUGCUGCAUGGUGGGGGUUGGAAAGUUUCGGCGGUUGGGGAUGGACUCGCGGCUUAUCAGCUUGUUGGUGGGGUAGUGGCUUACCAAGGCUUUGACGGGUAGCCGGCCUGAGAGGGUGACCGGCCAAAUUGGGACUGAGAUACGGCCCAGACUCCUACGGGAGGCAGCAGUGGGGAAUAUUGCACAAUGGGCGGAAGCCUGAUGCAGAAACGCCGCGUGCGGGAUGACGGCCUUCGGGUUGUAAACCGCUUUCGCCUGUGACGAAGCGUGAGUGACGGUAAUGGGUAAAGAAGCACCGGCUAACUACGUG